UACGGGGGGGGCAAGCGUUAUUCGGAAUUACUGGGCUUAAAGAGUGCGUAGGCGGCUUAGCAGGUGGGGUGUGAAAGCCCACGGCCCAACCGUGGAAUUGCGCUUCAAACCGCUAGGCUGGAGGGAGACAGGGGUGAGCGGAACUGAUGGUGGAGCGGUGAAAUGCGUUGAUAUCAUCGAGGAACACCCGGUGGCGAAGGCGGCUCACUGGGUCUCUUCUGACGCUGAGGCACGAAAGCUAGGGUAGCGAACGGG
rnacentral:rRNA from 1 species